UACGUAGGGGGCAAGCGUUGUCCGGAUUUAUUGGGUUUAAAGGGUGCGUAGGUGGCCCUGUAAGUCAGUGGUGAAAUAUCUCAGCUUAACUGAGAGGGUGCCAUUGAUACUGCAGGGCUUGAGUACAGAUGAGGUAGGCGGAAUUGACGGUGUAGCGGUGAAAUGCAUAGAUAUCGUCAAGAACACCGAUAGCGAAGGCAGCUUACCUAGCUGUAACUGACACUGAGGCACGAAAGUGUGGGGAUCAAAUCGG
rnacentral:rRNA from 1 species